CCCCUAGAUGUUCUGGGCCGCGCGCGCGCUACACUGAACAGUUCAACAAGUCUUAACCUUGGCCGAUAGGUCUGGGUAAUCUUUGAACGCUGUUCGUGACUGGGAUAGACCUUUGCAAUUAUGGGUCUUCAACGAGGAAUUCCUAGUAAACGCAAGUCAUCAGCUUGCAUUGAUUACGUCCCUGCCCUUUGUACACACCGCCCGUCGCACCUACCGAUUGAAUGGUCCGGUGAAAUCUCGGGACGGCGGCUUGGUCGCUUGCGUCCGACUGCUGAAACUUGAUUAAACCAUAUCAUUUAGAGGAAGGUGAAGUCGUAACA
rnacentral:rRNA from 1 species